rnacentral:misc_RNA from 1 species
AACGCACGAGACCUGCGGACCUGCUGAAGGAUCAUUAAUGAGAAGCUGCCCCUCGUGGGUAGACCUCCCACCCUCUGUGAACUUACCUUUGUUGCUUUGGCAGGCCCGUCCUCUGGACCGCCGGCUUCGGCUGGCCCGUGCCUGCCAGAGGAUUCCAAACCCUGUCUGUCAGUGUUGUCUGAGUCUAUAUGAAAUCGUUAAAACUUUCAACAACGGAUCUCUAGAUCGGAAGAGCACACG